rnacentral:rRNA from 1 species
AGUAUCCGAAGGCGUUCGGGAGAACCCUCGUGAAGGAACUCGGCAAAAUGACCCCGUACCUUCGGUACAAGGGGUGCUCUCCGCAAGGAGAGCCGCAGAGAAUCGGCUCUAGCGACUGUUUAUCAAAAACACAGGACUCUGCCAACUCGCAAGAGGACGUAUAGAGUCUGACGCCUGCUCGGUGUCGGUAGGUUAAGGGAGCCGAUCAGCGCAAGCGAAGUUGGCGACCGAAGCCCCGAUAAACGGCGGCCGUAACUAUGACGGUCCUAAGGUAGCGAAGUUCCUUGUCGGGUAAGUUCCGACCUGCAUGAAUGGCGUAACGACUGGAGCACUGUCUCCACGAGGGACCCGGUGAAACUGUAGCCGUGGUGAAGAUGCCACGUACCCGCGGUCAGACGGAAAGACCCCGUGAACCUUUACUGCAGGUUGGCACUGGGUCAGCGUCCUUUCUGUGUAGCAUAGGUGGGAGGCCGUGAUCCGGCGGCGCCAGCCGUCGGGGAGCCAUCGGUGAAAUACCACCCUGAAAUGACUCUGAUCCUCACCGGUCCGUAGCCCGGACCGGGACCGUGCUCAUCGGGCAGUUUGACUGGGGCGGUCUCCUCCCAAAGAGUAACGGAGGAGUGCAAUGGUACCCCCGCCAGGUCGGCAAUCUGGCAACACGAGCGCAAACGUAGAAGGGUGCCUGACUGCGAGACCCAUCAGUCGAGCAGGGACGAAAGUCGGCGUUAGUGAUCCGGCGGUGCUGGAUGGAAAGGCCGUCGCUCAACAGAUAAAAGGUACUCCGGGGAUAACAGGCUGAUCUCCCCCGAGCGUCCAUAGCGGCGGGGAGGUUUGGCACCUCGAUGUCGGCUCAUCGCAUCCUGGGGCUGGAGAAGGUCCCAAGGGUUUGGCUGUUCGCCAAUGAAAGCGGUACGCGAGCUGGGUUCAGACCGUCGUGAGACAGGUCGGUCCCUAUCUGCCGUGGGCGGAGGAAACUUGCGAAGGGUCUCCCCUAGUACGAGAGGAUUGGGGAGGACCGACCUCUGGUGUGCCGGCUGUCCUGCUAAGGGCAUCGCCGGGUAGCCAGGUCGGGAAAGGAUAAGCGCUGAAGGCAUCUAAGCGCGAAGCCCUCUUCAAGACGAGGUUUCCGGCACGCAAGUGCGAAGGCUCCUGGAAGACGACCAGCUCGAUAGGCCGGGAGUGCACGGCGAGCGAUCGCCGCAGCCGACCGGUCCUAACAGCCAAUCGCUUGACCAC